CUGUGGACAGAGGAGCCUGUUGGGCUGCUGUCCAUAGGGUUGCACAGAGUCAGACAGGACUGAAGCGACUUAGCGUGCAUGCAUGCAUUGGAGAAGAAAAUGGCAACCCACACCAAUGUUCUUGUCUGGAGAAUCCCAGGGACAGAGGAGCCUGGUGGGCUGCCAUCUAUGGGGCUGCACAGAGUCGGACAUGACUGAAGUGACUUAGCAGUAGCAGCAAUGGGCAAGAAUCACUUAGAAGAAAUGGAGUAGUCAUCAUAGUCAGCAGAGUCAGAAAUGCAGUACUUGGAUGCAAUCUCAAAAACGACACAGUGACCUCUGUUCGUUUCUAAGGCAAACCAUUCAAUAUAACAGUAAUCCAAGUCUAUGCCCUGAACAGUAAUGCUGAAGAAGCUGAAGUUGAACAGUUCUAUGAAGACCUACAAGACCUUCUUGGACUAACACCCAAAAAAGAUGUGCUUUUCAUUAGAGGGGACUGGAAUGCAAAAGUAGGGAGUCAAGAAACACCUGGAGUAACAGGCAAAUUUGGCCUUGGAAUACAAUUAGAGCAAAGGCUAAUAGAGUUCUGCCAAGAAAACACACUGGUCAUAGCAAACACCCUCCUCCAACAACACAAGAGAUGACUCUACAUAUGGACAUCACUAGAUGGUCAACACCAAAAUCAGAUUGAUUAUAUUCUUUGCAGCCAAAGAUGGAGAAGUGCUAUACAGUCAGCAAAAACAAGACCGGGAGCUGACUGUAGCUCAGAUCAUGAACCCUUAUUGCUAAAUUCAGACUUAAGUUGAAGAAAGUAGGGAAAACCACUAGACCAUUCAGUGACAUAAAUCAAAUCCCUUACAACUAUACAGUGGAAGUGACAAAUAGAUUCAAGGGUUAGAUCUGAUAGAGAGCCUGAAGAACUGUGGAUGGAGGUUCGUGACAUCAUACAGGAGGCAGGGAUCAAGACCAUUCCCAAGAAAAAAAAAGUGCAAAAAGGCCAAAUGGUUGUCUGAGGAGGCCUUACAAAUAGCUGUGAAAAGAAGAGCAGCGAAAGGCAAAGGAGAAAAGGCAAGAUAUAAGCAUCUGAAUGCAGAGUUCCAAAGAAUAGCAUGGAGAGAUAAGAAAGCCUUCCUCAGUGAUCAAUGCAAAGAAAUAGAGGAAAACAAUAGAGUGGGAAAGACUAGAGAGGUCUUCAAGAAAAUUAGAGAUACCAAGGGAACAUUUCAUACAAAGAUGGGCUCGAUAAAGGACAGAAAUGAUAUGGACGUAACAGAAGCAGAAGAUAUUAAGAAGAGGUGGC
ensembl:lncRNA